GGGCCCGCACAAGCGGUGGAGCAUGUGGUUUAAUUCGACGCAACGCGAAGAACCUUACCUGGGUUUGACAUCCCUUGCCGGUCUGUGAAAGCAGAUUUUAUGUAUCAAUUUGAUGCAUACAAGGAGACAGGUGCUGCAUGGCUGUCGUCAGCUCGUGUCGUGAGAUGUUGGGUUAAGUCCCGCAACGAGCGCAACCCUUGUCCUUAGUUGCCAGCACUUCGGGUGGGAACUCUAAGGAGACUGCCGGUAAAAAGCCGGAGGAAGGUGGGGAUGACGUCAAGUCAGCAUGGCCCUUACGUCCAGGGCGACACACGUGCUACAAUGGAUUGUACAGAGGGUCGCAAGACAGCGAUGUGGAGCCAAUCCCUAAAACAAUCCUCAGUUCGGAUCGGAGGCUGCAACCCGCCUCCGUGAAGUCGGAAUCGCUAGUAACCGCAGAUCAGCCAUGCUGCGGUGAAUACGUUCCCGGGCCUU
rnacentral:rRNA from 1 species